UUUCCUUAUGGGUUAUAGGACUAUUUAAUUGUUUAUCUUAUCUUGAUUUAACCUUAUUAAGUGGCACCUGUGAAGAAAUGUUCCAGGAUACAAUCUGUAGAAGAAAAAGAAAAGCGUUGGCCACACAGAGUCUCCCUGCUCUGAUGACAGGUUGCUAGCUGCAGUGCUGUUUCCUGGCCCCUCCUUCUUUGCCAGUGGCUACAGUGAUGAUGGAGGCUAUAAGCAACUUAAAGGGAUUAUGAAGGAUCCAGGAAUGACUACUGGUUUGAGCAGCCAAGGUGAAACGGUCCAAGAGGAGGAAGGGUCAGCACGGAUGUAGAAGAAGCUGGAACAGAAAAUGGGAAGCACUGGACCUUGCUCAGAGGUGAACCGGCUGCUGAGGGAUGAGGGCAGAAGUCUGUGUCAUGAGAAACAUGGAGAUUAGAGAGCACGAUGAAAGCAGAAGCAGCUCCCUCGGCUAUGGGACACACCGAGUGCGGUUCCCUUAGCUGUGCUGCGAAUGGAACGUUGCCGUGCACUUCCUGUUGGGGAAUCGCUGUUUUCUGUAGGGUUGUGUGUUGAGAAACAUUAAUAGCGUCCUGCAUAUUGCUCAUAAUCCGAGUGAUGAGAGCUGACUGUAACUGAAGAUUUAUGCGUUCCAGUUGUCCUGCUGACACUCUGAUAUCAUCACGGAAGGAGCCUAAACAUUAUUUACUUACUCACUCAUUUUACGAAAUAGAACUUUUAAUAGAUGCUUGUCUUAAAGGGCUUAAAACUGAGCUUUAAAAAAAAAACUGGAUAAUCUCCAUGGCAACUUGUGCAGCUGAAAUACUUUAGAACAUUUUAUGCCUGGUGCUAACUCUUCUGCAAACUACUCCCAUCACUUGGGAGUGUUAAGGAAAUACCUGUCUUAGGGUUCCACGGGUCUAGCGCCCCAGACUCAACUGAACCAUCUACUGUGUGUGUUUUCCUCCUCCUCAGUAUUAACUUUCUAAAUCUUAUAUUCAUGGAUCAAGCAUUGGUACUUCAUCAAAUAUCUGCUCUGCCAACCCUCAGAUCACUGUGCUGGCUUUUAACGUAGUCAUGUUCUAGGAUCCUGGAAUUAAUCUGAGAUUUGAGGUCUGUGUCAUCUCAUGACAAUCUUUGAAAAAUUGAAGACAUUGAAUAAAAGUAUUAUAUUUUCUUAAGCAAUUUCCUGUAUUAGUAAAAAUAUUUAGAGAAAAAUACAUGACGGGACUGGAGAAAUGUUGUGGCAAGUAAAUGCACAUGUUCCUGCACAGGACCCAAGCACCCACAUGGCACCUCGAUUCUGUAAUCUGGUCUGUGAGGGUACCAGGUAUGUAUGUGAGGGGCACAGUCAGACAUGUAUGCAAAAUUCCAUACACACAAAAUAAAAACUAAAAAAUAAAGUAUUUUAGAAGUUGAA